AUUGAACGCUGGCGGCAGGCCUAACACAUGCAAGUCGAGCGGAUGAAGGGAGCUUGCUCCUGGAUUCAGCGGCGGACGGGUGAGUAAUGCCUAGGAAUCUGCCUGGUAGUGGGGGAUAACGUCCGGAAACGGGCGCUAAUACCGCAUACGUCCUGAGGGAGAAAGUGGGGGAUCUUCGGACCUCACGCUAUCAGAUGAGCCUAGGUCGGAUUAGCUAGUUGGUGGGGUAAAGGCCUACCAAGGCGACGAUCCGUAACUGGUCUGAGAGGAUGAUCAGUCACACUGGAACUGAGACACGGUCCAGACUCCUACGGGAGGCAGCAGUGGGGAAUAUUGGACAAUGGGCGAAAGCCUGAUCCAGCCAUGCCGCGUGUGUGAAGAAGGUCUUCGGAUUGUAAAGCACCUUAAGUUGGGAGGAAGGGCAGUAAGUUGAUACCUUGCUGUUUUGACGUUACCAACAGAAUAAGCACCGGCUAACUUCGUG
rnacentral:rRNA from 1 species